rnacentral:tRNA from 1 species
GGUUGUGGCUCAGAGGUAGAGUGCUUGCCUCACAUGUGUGAGGCACUGGGUUCAAUUCUCAGCACCG